GAGCUUGCUCCUUUGAGACCGGCGCACGGGUGCGUAACGCGUAUGCAAUCUACCUUUCACAGAGGGAUAGCCCAGAGAAAUUUGGAUUAAUACCUCAUAGUAUAGCAGUUUCGCAUGAAACCACUAUUAAAGUCACAACGGUGAAAGAUGAGCAUGCGUCCCAUUAGCUAGUUGGUAAGGUAACGGCUUACCAAGGCAACGAUGGGUAGGGGUCCUGAGAGGGAGAUCCCCCACACUGGUACUGAGACACGGACCAGACUCCUACGGGAGGCAGCAGUGAGGAAUAUUGGACAAUGGGCGCAAGCCUGAUCCAGCCAUGCCGCGUGCAGGAUGACGGUCCUAUGGAUUGUAAACUGCUUUCGUACAGGAAGAAACACCUCUACGUGUAGAGACUUGACGGUACUGUAAGAAUAAGGAUCGGCUAACUCCGUGCCAGCAGCCGCGGUAAUACGGAGGAUCCAAGCGUUAUCCGGAAUCAUUGGGUUUAAAGGGUCCGUAGGCGGUUUAGUAAGUCAGUGGUGAAAGCCCAUCGCUCAACGGUGGAACGGCCAUUGAUACUGCUAGACUUGAAUUAUUAGGAAGUAACUAGAAUAUGUAGU
rnacentral:rRNA from 1 species